CUACGGGAGGCAGCAGUGGGGAAUAUUGGACAAUGGGCGCAAGCCUGAUCCAGCCAUGCCGCGUGGAUGAUGAAGGCCCUAGGGUUGUAAAGUCCUUUUAACGGGGAAGAUAAUGACGGUACCCGUAGAAUAAGCCCCGGCUAACUUCGUGCCAGCAGCCGCGGUAAUACGAAGGGGGCUAGCGUUGCUCGGAAUUACUGGGCGUAAAGCGCACGUAGGCGGCUUCUUAAGUCGGUGGUGAAAUCCUGGAGCUCAACUCCAGAACUGCCUUCGAUACUGGGAAGCUCGAGUUCGGGAGAGGUGAGUGGAACUGCGAGUGUAGAGGUGAAAUUCGUAGAUAUUCGCAAGAACACCAGUGGCGAAGGCGGCUCACUGGCCCGAUACUGACGCUGAGGUGCGAAAGCGUGGGGAGCAAACAGGAUUAGAUACCCCAGUAGUCU
rnacentral:rRNA from 1 species